rnacentral:rRNA from 1 species
UACGGAGGGUGCAAGCGUUAAUCGGAAUUACUGGGCGUAAAGCGCGCGUAGGCGGCUGAUUAAGUCGGGUGUGAAAGCCCCGGGCUCAACCUGGGAACUGCAUCCGAUACUGAUCGGCUAGAGUAUGAGAGAGGGAGGUAGAAUUCCACGUGUAGCGGUGAAAUGCGUAGAUAUGUGGAGGAAUACCGGUGGCGAAGGCGGCCUCCUGGCUUAAUACUGACGCUGAGGUGCGAAAGCGUGGGGAGCAAACAGG